CAAAGGUUGGUUUAAAAUUUAAAAUAGUGGUUUUGGGAAUUACUGAUAGAAUAAAUGUUUCUACCUUUGA
rnacentral:tRNA from 1 species